rnacentral:rRNA from 1 species
UCUAACUUACAAUCAUUAUCUGGUUGGAGGACAAUGUCUGGUGGGCAGUUUGACUGGGGCGGUCGCCUCCUAAAGAGUAACGGAGGCGCCCAAUAGGUUCUCUCAGCACGGACGGAAAUCGUGCUUAAGAGUGCAAAGGCAUAAGAGAGCUUGACUGCGAGACUUACAAGUCGAGCAGGUGCGAAAGCAGGGCUUAGUGAUCCGGUGGUUCCGAGUGGAAGGGCCAUCGCUCAACGGAUAAAAGCUACCCCGGGGAUAACAGGCUUAUACCCUCCAAGAGUUCACAUCGACGAGGGUGUUUGGCACCUCGAUGUCGGCUCGUCUCAUCCUGGGGCUGAAGUGGGUCCCAAGGGUUGGGCUGUUCGCCCAUUAAAGAGGUACGCGAGCUGGGUUCAGAACGUCGCGAGACAGUUCGGUCCCUAUCCGCUGUGGGCGUUUGAAGUUUGAUGGGAGCUAUCCUUAGUACGAGAGGACCGGGAUGGACGAACCAAUGGUGCACCAGUUGUCCUGCCAAGGGCAUAGCUGGGUAGCUAAGUUCGGAAGGGAUAAGCGCUGAAAGCAUAUAAGUGCGAAGCCCCCCCAAAGACGAGACUUCAUAGACUCCUGAAAGACUAUCAGGUUGAUAGGCCAAGGGUGUAAGUACAGCAAUGUAUUUAGCUGAUUGGUACUAAUAGGUCUAUUGCUUACUUUU